rnacentral:rRNA from 1 species
CCUACGGGGCGCAGCAGUGAGGAAUAUUGGUCAAUGGGCGCGAGCCUGAACCAGCCAAGUAGCGUGCAGGAUGACGGCCCUAUGGGUUGUAAACUUCUUUUAUGAGGGGAUAAAGUGAGGUACGUGUAGUUUAUUGCAGGUACCAUAUGAAUAAGGACCGGCUAAUUCCGUGCCAGCAGCCGCGGUAAUACGGAAGGUCCAGGCGUUAUCCGGAUUUAUUGGGUUUAAAGGGAGCGUAGGCCGUGGAUUAAGCGUGUUGUGAAAUGUAGCGGCUCAACG